rnacentral:lncRNA from 1 species
AGAAGCAGGCUGUUUCCUGAAGAGGUUUUGUAGGUCAAGUAACAAGGGACAGUAGCACAGGGAUUCCCUCACAGAGUAUCACUCAUUUAUUGUUUGUGUUUCUAUUGAGGUGAUGCUUUAUGCCAGCUGAAUAGAGUGCAUCUGACAGACCCUUUCUGCUUUCUUCCAGUGUCCUCCUGUGCUUGGCCUCUGUGGUUCUCCACAUGCAGUGUUGGAAGGAUUCCCUGCAGGUCCCUCUUUGAUACUUCCCUGAGCCUUUCUCUGCGGCUCUUACUUUCUGUACAUCGAUGGAGCCCUGCUUCAGAGCACGUGAACGUGUGAACACGGCCAGCGCACUGCAUCGGCCAGAGCCCGCUCCCAGCACGGCGUGCCCACGGCAGGAGACUGGGUGCCAGAGUAGCACCAGGAUGUGAAGAAUGGAUGCUGCUGGAUGCUCAAGAGCAGAGGAUCUAUCAACUGCAGACCAAGCAGAGGGAGAGGCAGGCAGAACUGGAGCAGAAAUGCAGCCGGAUCCAGCAGCUCAACCAGGACGUGGAGGCCAGUCACCAGCUGCAGGAGGAAGCUCAGAAGCAGUGGGGAGAGCUGCAGGGAAGGGCUCGGCAGAAGACCUACAACGUGUCCAUCAGUUCCAUAUAUUGGGAGCUUGUAGAGGACUGACACACUGGAACAGUUGUGGAAGAAGGUAGGUGUGAGAAUGGACAAAAGCACAGGGCAGGCUGGGGACAAUAUGGAUCACAUAACUAGCAAUUAUGCUUCUUACUCUGACACUGACAUCAGUCAGCAGUGCUGCCAAAGCGUGGCUCUAACAUACAAGGGCUGUGAAUAAUCUGUGGCCUUGGCGUGGUCCUACAGCACCAAAACACCACCGCUUUAAUUACAAAUAUUUAUGUUACAUCUUUGCAUGCCACCUUCCCUAGCACCAUGGCAGCGUGACAGCAGAUGCUCUGACACAAGUCGGGUUAAGACUUAUGCUGCAAGAACGUGCAAUUGCUUUGGCACGGCGUGAGUUUACAAGCACACCUGACCUAGGAAAGCCACAUCUGAAGGCUGGCCUCCUCCAUCCCCAAGGCCCCAGCAGGCAGCGUGUCUCCACCCCCGAACAGAGGGCAGCGUGUUGCCGUUUUCAGACUGUGCUAAUCCCUUUGUGUGUUUUGAAGAUGAUGCUGUUCCCUGGUGCAUUUCACCUCGUGGCUGCACAGAUCCCUUCCGCUGGAUGGCAAUCUUAAAGGAUGCUGAGGGGAAAUCCCAGGAAGCUGGUCUCUGAUCUGAGUCACGCUGCUGGUGCAGGGAAGCACUCUGUCACACGCAGGCAUGGCACAGGGUGUUCCCUGCAGCUUGGCACAUACUGAAGUCGAUAGCCCUCAGCAGGAACUUGCAUUCAGUAUUAUACUGUCUAAGAGGCUUAAAAUCGACUGUGAAGUUUCAGUAUAGCUACAAAAAACCCUGUUUUCAGUUUCUCCACUGGUAGCUUGCUCCAGAAGGAGACGGUGCAAUUUGGUGAUUGAUUCUUGGCAUCUGGCUGGUGCAUCUGCACUGGGGUAUUUUGAAUCACGUUGUGUAAUAUGAAAAAUAGUCGUUCAUUUCAUUCAUUUGAAUUUGUCUUGCGGGAAUGGCAGCUGCCCAGACAAAUUCCAUGUGAAGAUGGGAAAUGUGAUGGAGAGCCCAGUACUGUGUGUAGCAGAAACA